rnacentral:rRNA from 1 species
CCUGGCGGCGAUAGCGCGGUGGUCCCACCUGACCCCAUGCCGAACUCAGAAGUGAAACGCCGUAGCGCCGAUGGUAGUGUGGGGUCUCCCCAUGUGAGAG